rnacentral:lncRNA from 1 species
AGAGAAAUUGUGUGUCUGCUCUGGUUUUAGUUUUAACGUCAGCUCGUUACAAUCCGUAACUACUUGUAGACUACUUCAUCCGGAUGGGUUUGCAACUUUGUGUACAGACUGCUUCAACACUUCUAUUUUCUAUAGGACUUGGAUUAAUAAUCUCCAACAAUAUGGUCAUGCUUCUUAUAUUUACUUUCAGUUCUAAAUACAUUUAUGUUUUUCUCUAUGUUGUACUACUAAACUAUGUGUGCUAAAGUAAACAUAAAAAUAUGACGGGGUGGUGGUUUCAGCCAUAGAAAGAAUUGAUUUGGAGAACAAAGGGAAUUUUCGGCGGACGAAGAACUCGCUCGAGAUGCUCCAGUGAUGAUUUUAUAUAGCGUUUUAUCUAAACCUGGGUUCCUUCUUUCAGAUUGGGCGGUGCCCUAUGAUGUGAAGCCGGUGUAAUAACUUUUUCAUUUGGCAUCGGUGGUGAUGUGACAACCUUUUAGACAAUUUGGCACCUGUAACACAGUGGAAGACCUCAUACGAGCUGGUUGCCUUCCUGGUAGUUGUUGCGGGUUUUGAAUUAAGUGUACAACUAUGUUUAAAACGCCAUGAUCAGAAGCUGUGGUGGGUGUACAGAUUGACUCUUAUUACAUGACUAUUCCUAAGAUUGAUUCUGAUUGGGUUAAGGGCAUGUGAUUUUGUUCUCCCGGUGCAACGCAC